GUUCUGGAUCCAAAGAGAUAAAUUUAAUAUCUCGUGUGACCACCGUUAGCGUUAAUUACCACCAGGCACCUUCUGUAUUCAAAAGAGACCG